rnacentral:rRNA from 1 species
AAGGAGAUCCACUUUGUUGCUGAUCAAUUUAUGAAGGAAGCCUAUGCAUUACGGGAAGGGCUGAGUUUGGCUCGGUUUCUAGGAUGCAGCAAAAUCAUUAUCCAAUCUAAUAAUUAUCAGGUAAUUGAGAUUAUGAAGGAUGGUGGUUUCUCGGCCACCUCACCUGCAGUUAUAUUUGAUGAUUGCAGAAUUCUUGCAACUGGUUUGAGAGAGAUCACCUUCGAACAUUGUAAUCGGGAGGCCAAUGAGGUUGCUCAUGAGUUACUAGGCCUUUUAGUGAUCAUGUCGAUUGUAUUUGGGACGAUGACCCCUCUAGCUUUUUAUUUGCUAAGCUCAUAA